ACGGCUCAGUAACACGUGGACAAUCUGCCCUGAAGUGGAGAAUAAUCCCGGGAAACUGGGGGUAAUACUCCAUAGUUCGUUAUUACUGGAAUGUUUUUCGAACGAAAGAUCCGUCGCUUCAGGAUGAGUCUGCGGCCGAUUAGGUAGUUGUUGGGGUAAUUGCCCAACAAGCCUGUAAUCGGUACGGGUUGUGGGAGCAAGAGCCCGGAGAUGGAUUCUGAGACACGAAUCCAGGCCCUACGGGGCGCAGCAGGCGCGAAAACUUUACCAUGCGGGCAACCGUGAUAAGGAAACCCCGAGUGCCAGCACAGGCUGGCUGUCCGCCAGUUUAAACAACUGGCGAAGAAAGGGCCGGGCAAGACCGGUGCCAGCCGCCGCGGUAAUACCGGCGGCUCGAGUGGUGGCCGCUAUUACUGGGCUUAAAGGGUCCGUAGCUUGAUAAUAGGGUCCCUUGAGAAAUCCGCCGGCUUAACUGGCGGGCGUUCAGGGGAAACUUGUUUUCUAGGGACCGGGAGAGGUGAGGGGUACUGCCGGGGUAGGAGUGAAAUCCUGUAAUCCCGGUGGGACCACCUAUGGCGAAGGCAUCUCACCAGAACGGGUCCGACAGUGAGGGACGAAAGCUGGGGGAGCAAACCGGAUUAGAUACCCGGGUAGUCCCAGCUGUAAACUAUGUGCGUUAGGUGUGUCAGUGACCACGUGUCACUGAGGUGCCGAAGGGAAACCGUGAAACGCACCGCCUGGGGAGUACGGUCGCAAGGCUGAAACUUAAAGGAAUUGGCGGGGGAGCAC
rnacentral:rRNA from 1 species